rnacentral:rRNA from 1 species
GACGUAGGGCGCGAGCGUUGUCCGGAUUUAUUGGGCGUAAAGAGCUCGUAGGCGGCUUGUCGCGUCGACUGUGAAAACCCGCGGCUCAACCGUGUGGCUUGCAGUUGAUACGGGCAGGCUAGAGUUCGGUAGGGGAGACUGGAAUUCCUGGUGUAGCGGUGAAAUGCGCAGAUAUCAGGAGGAACACCGGUGGCGAAGGCGGGUCUCUGGGCCGAUACUGACGCUGAGGCGCGAAAGCCAGGGGAGCGAACGGG